rnacentral:rRNA from 1 species
GACGAACGCUGGCGGCGUGCCUAACACAUGCAAGUCGGACGGAUCAGGGAUGACAGCUUGCUGGAGUUCCUGGUGAGUGGCGGACGGGUGAGUAACGCGUGAGGACCUACCCUGGAGAGGGGGAUAACGGCUGGAAACGGCUGCUAAUACCCCGUAAGCCGGAAGGUGAAAGGGAGCGAUCUGCUCCAGGGGGGGCUUGCGUCCUAUCAGCUAGUUGGUGGGGUAACGGCCUACCAAGGCGAAGACGGGUAGCCGGCCUGAGAGGGCGAACGGCCACACUGGAACUGAGAUACGGGUCCCACUCCUACGGGAGGCAGCAGGCUAGAAAUUUGGGCAAUGGGGGAAACCCUGACCCAGUGACGCCGCGUGCAGGAAGGAGCCCUUCGGGGUGUAAACUGCUGUCGUGUAGGGAGAAGGGUACUAAGGUGAACAAUCUUAGUACUUGACGGUACUACAGGAGGAAGCCCAGGCUAACCUCGUG